AUUGAACGCUGGCGGAAUGCUUUACACAUGCAAGUCGAACGGUAGAGGGGGCAACCCCUUGAGAGUGGCGAACGGGUGAGUAAUAUAUCGGAACGUGCCCAGUCGUGGGGAUAACGUAGCGAAAGUUACGCUAAUACCGCAUACGAUCUAAGGAUGAAAGCGGGGGAUCGCAAGACCUCGCGCGAUUGGAGCGGCCGAUAUCAGAUUAGGUAGUUGGUGAGGUAAAGGCUCACCAAGCCAACGAUCUGUAGCUGGUCUGAGAGGACGACCAGCCACACUGGAACUGAGACACGGUCCAGACUCCUACGGGAGGCAGCAGUGGGGAAUUUUGGACAAUGGACGCAAGUCUGAUCCAGCCAUUCCGCGUGCAGGAUGAAGGCCCUCGGGUUGUAAACUGCUUUUGUACGGAACGAAAAGGUUUGUCGUUAAUACGAUGAGCUCAUGACGGUACCGUAAGGAAUAAGCACCGGCUAACUACGUGCCAGCAGCCGCGGUAAAGUG
rnacentral:rRNA from 1 species